rnacentral:rRNA from 1 species
AGUUGAUUCUGGGUUCAGGAUGAACGCUAGCGGCAAGCUUUAACACAUGCAAGUUGAGGGGCAGCAUGUCCAGCAAUGGAUGAUGGCGACCGGCGGAAGGGUGCGUAACGCGUGAGCAACAUGCCCUAUACAGGGAGAUACACCAGGGAAACUUGGUCUAAUAUCCCAUAGCAUUCAUUGAAGGCAUCUUUAAUGAAUUAAAGCUUCGGUGGUAUAGGAUUGGCUCGCGUGACAUUAGCCAGAUGGUGAGGUAACGGCUCACCAUAGCAAUGAUGUCUAGGGGUUUUGAGAGGAAGGCCCCCCACACUGGGACUGAGACACGGCCCAGACUCCUACGGGAGGCAGCAGUGAGGAAUAUUGGACAAUGGAUGGAAAUCUGAUCCAGCCAUGCCGCGUGCAGGAAGACGGCCUUAUGGGUUGUAAACUGCUUUUAUACGGGAGCAAUAAGGGUUACGAGUAAUCCGAUGAGAGUACUGUAUGAAUAAGGAUCGGCUAACUCCGUGCCAGCAGCCGCGGUAAUACGGAGGAUCCGAGCGUUAUCCGGAAUUAUUGGGUUUAAAGGGUGCGUAGGCGGCCGUUUAAGUCAGCGGUGAAAUUUUGCAGCUUAACUGUAACAGUGCCGUUGAUACUGUUUGGCUAGGAUUUGGUUGUAGUGUGCGGAAUGUGUGGUGUAGCGGUGAAAUGCUUAGAUAUCACACAGAACACCGAUUGCGAAGGCAGCACACUAAGUCAUUAUUGACGCUGAGGCACGAAAGUGUGGGGAUCAAACAGGAUUAGAUACCCUGGUAGUCCACACUGUAAACGAUGAUAACUCGCUGUCGGCGAUACACAGUCGGGGCCAAGCGAAAGC